rnacentral:lncRNA from 1 species
UUGGACUUGAGCUGCCAGGGUGGACGGUCUUGUCUCUUUUUUGAGACAGUCUUGCUCACACAGUCCAGGCUGGCCUUGAACUUGCAAUCCUCCUGCCUCAGCCUCCGAAGUGCUGGGAUUACAGGCGUGUGGCACCCGAGGGGUAGAAAGCAAGAGUUGCCUUCUGGACACCUUCCACUGGGAAGCAUCCUGGGCCUGUUUGAUCCCCGGUGCAGCUGUCGGGAUGGCUCUUCUUGUGCCUGACCUUGGCUCUCAGGAGAGACAGAAGACUGCAGAUGGGAUGAGAUUCCAGUUCAGUUCAGAUCCAUCACCAAAUGGAGGAUGGGCAUGGUGGACCAGGACGCACUGCAGAGCCAAGACGUGCGGCUCGGAGAGCGAGGACCCAUUGGGUCUGUUGUUCUUCAUUCAGAAAAGUGCUUGUGUUGUUCCAGGUGUUUCUGCUCUACUCCGUUCUGCAAAGAAACAGGAAGUGGCCGGUGCUGCACAGAGAGAGGUGCUGGCCAGGAGCCUAGAAUCUUCCCUCUGCUUUGGGAAGAAAUGUGAAGAUGGUCUGCGUUUGGAGCGAGCCCAGGGCGGAGGACGUUUGUCUGACAGCGUGGGCAGUUCAGCUCCUGCCCCAUCCUGCCAAGCAAUGGCCCAGGAACUGGCUGUCGGCAAAGGUGCUUUUGAGUGUUUAUGGGGUUGCCCUAAAGAGCUCAGUAUGCAGGGGCAGAGUGAGGCCUCUCAGCUGCUGCACCCCCCAGGGGUGGGACACAGGUGUCACGCUCGGCCACCGCCCAAGAAUGUGCAAAGGGGGUCAUCCUGNNNNNNNNNNNNNNNNNNNNNNNNNNNNNNNNNNNNNNNNNNNNNNNNNNNNNNNNNNNNUGUCGCUGCGACCUGUGCGAUUUUUGUUUGGGGACAUUUUUACUGUGCACGGAGCGGCAGGAACAGCACAGUGCUCCCCCAGGUAGCUGCCCACCCUACCCGACCAGUACUCCUCUCGCUUCCUGCUGGAUUAUUUCAAACCAAAUCCAGGCACUGUACCAUUUCCCAUAAACAAGCAUACAUCUCUAAAAUAUAAGAGCUAUUUUUACCACAUGAUAAUCGUUCCCACGCUUUAAAACAGUAAGCCCUCAAAAUCCUUGUAUAUGUGUGUGUCAGUAGGACCUUGUUGUCUCUGGAUUGUUUUACUCUUUUUGCUUAGAAUUCAAAUCCAGAUAAAAUCAAUGGACUGUCUGGUUAGUUACGCGUAAAGCUGACCUGCAGGCCGCCCUCCCCCUUUCUUUGUCUUUUCCUUGCAGUUUUGCUGCUGGAGGAACUGGCUCAGCAUGUUAAAGAGUUUUCCACACUGUCUGCAUUUGGCUGAAUUCGUUUUCUCUGACCUUGCGUGUUCUGUGAACUUGUGGUGAGAUGGAGACACAGUCCGAUUUCAGUUCGAGCCUUGGGGGAGGUCCUCACGGGCCAUGUGCUCCACCACCCGCGCCUGACGUCUGCUCACUCCCUUGUGUGCGCUGUGCAGCUGCUGGUGACACCUGUGCCCCACUGGGACUUGCAAGUGGCAACAGCAGAUCACACCACUCCUUUAUGUUUGUUUAGCCAACGUGCUCUACACAGAGAAACUCCUCCUUGUCCGCUAUUUGACUGACAUUCAGAUGUACAGGAAAGUGCCUCACUGCUUGCUCCUCUUCCUCUAUUUGCUGGUACUGUGUGGUGGCACAUGUCUGCAAUCCCAGUGCCGCAGGAGGCUGAAGCAGGCAGGAAGACCACAGGCGCAAGCCCACCCUGGGCUCCUAAUGGCUUAGUGAGGCCCUGGCUUAGAAUAACAAAAAGUAAAAGAGGCCUUGGCAUGCAGCUUGGCGCAAAGGCCUUGGGCUCAGCCCCCAGCACUGCACUACAGCAGCGACAACAACACAGCAACAAUGUGUCCUCUAGGCCCAACAAAUGUGAUCAAUGAAGUUUCCACCGAUACGAUUUUAAAUGCAGCAAACUAAAUUCAGGGGUUUUUUUCUGUUUUAAAAAGUUGAUAUAUUUAACAGCUGUGUUAAUAAAUUCAACCUUUACUAUUAUAGAACACUAUAACAACUGCUUAUCUAUAACAACUUCUAAAUAAGUAUUACUUGAAUUUUACUAAAAUAUUGGUAAUCAUAUACAUUGAAGACUAGAAGUGAUGUCAGAAAUAAUUUAGUACGGGCUGGGGAUUUAGCUCAGUGAUUCCAUCACCUGCCUCGCAAGCACAAGGUCCUGAGUUUGAUCCCCAGUACCAGAAAAACAAAAAAGAAAGAAAGAAAUAAUUUAGUACAAAAGCUUAUAGGUAAAAGACAUCAAGCCCCAAAGAAGCUAGAAGACCGCUACAGAAUAUACAGGGUUACACUAUGAGAGUCCAACUACCUAGUAAAGAAUGGUCAUAACUUCUGGAUUGUUACUGUUAAAGUUUGUUUUCUUUCUGCUACAUACUGCCUGGGAUGAAAUGUUAUGAAUUUCCCCCUGAAAUUUAAUAGUGCGAUUUGCAUUAAUAGCAAGAUAACAUCAGGAGAAAAUUAGUAAAAAUAAAUGACUUUUAUUCAAAUGAAAUAUUCUCAAUUCAGGAUUUUUAAAUACACCUGAUGGCUCGAUACAUGGUCACGGCAUUGUCACUGACGCGCCAGGCUCUGGUCGGCCA